CCUACGGGUGGCAGCAGUGAGGAAUAUUGGUCAAUGGGCGCUAGCCUGAACCAGCCAAGUAGCGUGAAGGAUGACUGCCCUAUGGGUUGUCAACUUCUUUUAUAUGGGAGUAAAGUGCCGCAUGUAUACUGCUUUGCAUGUACCUUAUGAAUAAGGAUCGGCUAACUCCGUGCCAGCAGCCGCGGUAAUACGGAGGAUUCGAGCGUUAUCCGGAUUUAUUGGGUUUAAAGGGAGCGUAGGCGGGUUGUUAAGUCAGUUGUGAAAAUUUGCGGCUCAAACGUAAAAUUGCAGUUGAUACUGGCAUCCUUGAGUACAGUAGAGGUAGGCGGAAUUCGGGGUGUAGCGGUGAAAUGCGUAGAUAUCACGAAGAACUCCGAUGGCGAAGGCAGCCUGCUGGACUGUAACUGACGCUGAGGCUCGAAAGUGUGGGUAUCAAACAGGAUUAGAUACCCUUGUAGUC
rnacentral:rRNA from 1 species